rnacentral:rRNA from 1 species
UACAGAGGAGCCAAGCGUUGUCCGGAUUGACUGGGCGUAAAGCGCACGCAGGCGGACGCGCGCGUGGGGUGUGAAAUCUGGCCGCUUAACGGCCAGGCGCCAUCCCAUACGGCGUGUCUGGAGUGAUGCAGAGGUCGGGUGGAACUGCCGGUGUAGUGGUGAAAUGCGUAGAGAUCGGGAAGGAACACCUGUGGCGAAGGCGGCCGACUGGGCCGACCCUGACGCUGAGGCGCGAAGGCGUGGGGAGCGAACGGG